GCUAUGAUGCCUUUGCCAGCCUGUUUCGCUCGUUGUAACGGGAGGCGUACGUCAUCACGUGCAUGAAUAAUUAUCAGAAGUCU
rnacentral:ncRNA from 1 species